rnacentral:rRNA from 1 species
GACGAACGCUGGCGGCGUGCCUAAUACAUGCAAGUCGAGCGAGCUUGCCUAGAUGAAUUUGGUGCUUGCACCAAAUGAAACUAGAUACAAGCGAGCGGCGGACGGGUGAGUAACACGUGGGUAACCUGCCCAAGAGACUGGGAUAACACCUGGAAACAGAUGCUAAUACCGGAUAACAACACUAGACGCAUGUCUAGAGUUUAAAAGAUGGUUCUGCUAUCACUCUUGGAUGGACCUGCGGUGCAUUAGCUAGUUGGUAAGGUAACGGCUUACCAAGGCAAUGAUGCAUAGCCGAGUUGAGAGACUGAUCGGCCACAUUGGGACUGAGACACGGCCCAAACUCCUACGGGAGGCAGCAGUAGGGAAUCUUCCACAAUGGACGCAAGUCUGAUGGAGCAACGCCGCGUGAGUGAAGAAGGGUUUCGGCUCGUAAAGCUCUGUUGUUAAAGAAGAACACGUAUGAGAGUAACUGUUCAUACGUUGACGGUAUUUAACCAGAAAGUCACGGCUAACUACGUGCCAGCAGCCGCGGUAAUACGUAGGUGGCAAGCGUUAUCCGGAUUUAUUGGGCGUAAAGAGAGUGCAGGCGGUUUUCUAAGUCUGAUGUGAAAGCCUUCGGCUUAACCGGAGAAGUGCAUCGGAAACUGGAUAACUUGAGUGCAGAAGAGGGUAGUGGAACUCCAUGUGUAGCGGUGGAAUGCGUAGAUAUAUGGAAGAACACCAGUGGCGAAGGCGGCUACCUGGUCUGCAACUGACGCUGAGACUCGAAAGCAUGGGUAGCGAACAGG